ACCUGGGUGGCUCAGUUGUAAAGCAUCUGACUUCAGCUCAGAUCAUGAUCUCACAGUCGAGAAUUCAAGUCCCACAUCAGGUG
rnacentral:tRNA from 1 species